UUACGUCCAUAUCACGUUGAAACGCUGGUUCACGUAUGAUCACCGAAGUUAAGCAACCUCAAACCUAGUCAGUACCUAGAUGGCUUACUGCUUGGGAAUACCUGUUGCUGUAAGC